rnacentral:rRNA from 1 species
AACGAACGCUGGCGGCAUGCCUAACACAUGCAAGUCGAACGAGACCUUCGGGUCUAGUGGCGCACGGGUGCGUAACGCGUGGGAAUCUACCCUUGGGUCCGGAAUAACAGUUAGAAAUGACUGCUAAUACCGGAUGAUGACGUAAGUCCAAAGAUUUAUCGCCCAAGGAUGAGCCCGUGUAAGAUUAGCUUGUUGGUGGGGUAAUGGCCUACCAAGGCGACGAUCUUUAGCUGGUCUGAGAGGAUGAUCAGCCACACUGGGACUGAGACACGGCCCAGACUCCUACGGGAGGCAGCAGUGGGGAAUAUUGGACAAUGGGCGAAAGCCUGAUCCAGCAAUGCCGCGUGAGUGAUGAAGGCCUUAGGGUUGUAAAGCUCUUUUACCAGGGAUGAUAAUGACAGUACCUGGAGAAUAAGCUCCGGCUAACUCCGUGCCAGCCGCCGCAGUAA